UUGGCGAUGCGUCUUAAGCAUGCAAGUCGAGCGGGCUUAUUCGGGCAACUGGAUAAGUUAGCGGCGAACUGGUGAGUAACACGUAGGUAAUCUGCCGUAGAGUGGGGGAUAACCCAUGGAAACAUGGACUAAUACCGCAUAUACUCUUGCUACAUAAGUAGAGUAGAGGAAAGGAGCAAUCCGCUUUACGAUGAGCCUGCGGCCUAUUAGCCUGUUGGUGGGGUAACGGCCUACCAAAGCUACGAUAGGUAGCCGACCUGAGAGGGUGACCGGCCACAUUGGGACUGAGAUACGGCCCAGACUCCUACGGGAGGCAGCAGCUGAGAAUCUUCCACAAAGGACGAAAGUCUGAUGGAGCGACAUCGCGUGAGGGAUGAAGGCCUUCGGGUUGUAAAC
rnacentral:rRNA from 1 species